AAAAAAACUUUUGCCAUCCUUUUUAUUUUCUAAAAAGGUUAAGAAAUAAGUAAAGAUAUAUUUUUAUUGAUGCUUAAGGAUGAAGAUGAGACAAAAUUUAAAGAUUUUAAAAUGAGACAUUUUGGGCGAAUUUAGGGGUCGUUGACUAGUCCAGUGCCUAAUAGCCAUACACGACAAAAAUACAUAUAACUUCUCUCCACAUUUUCAAUGGUGAUGUUUAUCACUAUUAUUGGUGGGUUCAAUUUACUUCACUUUGUUUCACUUGAAGACAUUGUGGGUGAUCAUUAAUGUGUUUUAAAAUCAUUCUGACCUUCCCUGUUUGCAUCAUCUGCACCAAUAAAAAACACUCCUUCUCCUUUUAUAGGUCAAUUUUUUUCAUGAAGCAACUUUAAACGUUACUAAUUUGUGGACCAAAAUCUAAAUAGCUUUCUUCUUCUAUAAUGAAGAUUGACUGUUAAAAAGAAUGUUCUUCUACUUGUCUAUAGGUAUCGAUCAUAGCACUGAUUGCCAAAUCAUUGCUUAGAGCUUGCUACCUAGACUUUUCAAAAAAAAAAGUCAAAUGACUAGGCCCGUUCUUGACAUUUUUGAGACCCUAGGCGGAACAAUAAAUUGGGGCCCCUUUUAAAAAAAUUAAAAAAUGUUAUGCAACAAAUAAAAAAAAUUGAGGCCAUUUUUUGAUCCCGUAAGAGCUUCUACUUUUGAUUCUGGAGAAGCUGCCACCCUUGAACUCAACAGUACCCUGUCAGCUUCCAAAGAUGCUGCCUCAUCAAAAGCCUUCUCCUCUUGUCCUACUACAAAUUGGAUUGAGAGCACCAAAGCCAUUGAGAACACAACCAAAAAAACCUUCACAAUCUUUUUUAUUUUCUAAAAUGGUUAAGAAAAAAAAAGUAAACAUAUAUUUUUAUUUAUGCUUAAGGUUGAAAAUGAGACGAAAUUUAAAGAGUUUAAAAUGAGAUAUUUUGGGCGAAUUUAGGGGUGGUUGACUAGUCUAGUGCCUAAUAACCAUACAUGACAAAAAUACAUAUAACUUUUCUCCACAUUUUCAAUGGUCAUGUUUGUCACAAUUUUUGGUGGUUUAAAUUUACUUCUUUUUGUUUCACUCGAAUACGUCGUGGGUGAUCGUUUAAAUUUUUUUAUUUUAUAAUUUUCACAUAUUUUUUUCAUUUAUUUAAAAUUUCAACCAAACAAAUUUUCUCAAUUUUUUUUCUACUUUUAGGAAAACAAAAAGAAAAAGAAAUCUUUAAUUUCUGAAACUAAAUAUACCCUAAACCUUUGCCUCCGACUCAUAAGAUAUUAAGAAUAAGGUAAUUAUUUGGUACACACGAAAUGUAAGUUUUUUAUUCCACAUAUGAAGUUGGGAUUUUGCCUCUUAUCAUAUAUAUAUUUAAUUUUUUGAAUAUAAAUUAAAUAAUAAAUAAUAAAAUCUCAACUAUAUUUAUGAAAUAAAAACCUUUCACCGUCACACCGAACAUUUCCCCUCGUGAUAUCACAAUAGUCUUUGUAAUCAUACUGACAAUCAUAAUGACAAAAGAAAGAAAAAGCUACGGGAUAUGAUAUUCACUACCCUCCAGUUAUGAGACUAUACAUAAUAUCGAUUGGAAGAAAUCGAAUUCAUAAAAAAUCCUACAAACUUAAUAGGUGUUUUUUUCAAGUAAGAAUAAUAAAUUUAGGGUCGAAAUUAAAUAGUAAUUUUUAUGAUAGUAAAAAUAUAAAUUUUAAAAGAUUAAAUCAAAAUUUUAUCAUUUUUAAAAAGUUAAAGUGCAACUUUCCUUUUACUAAUUUAAAAUUUUAAAAAUUUCUAAAAAGUCUAAAAGUAAAUGAUAAUAGAAUAAUUCUAAAAUCUGUCAUAUGCGCCAACUUGAGUUCUUGCGUCAAAUAUUUCGUGCUAUUUGCAUAUCCGCUCAUUUCUCGACACAUUGCAUAAUAAUUAUAAUUACUUAGAACAUGAUUAAAUGCCAAAUUAGAUAAAAUCCAUGUCAAAAAAUAAUCAAAAUAAAUAAUAAAAAUAUAUCGAUUAGCUGCAUUAUCAAUGUGUAAACCUAAUUUAAUGUCAAACUUAAAAGUUAAAAAUUUUCUUAUAUAUAAUGGUCAAACUAAAUUAUUGUUAAAUAUUAUAAAUAUUGAUAAUUAAUAAUAGUGUCCACACAUGAUUUUAAUAUUAAUGGUCAUAAUGUGUCAAACAAUUAAAAUAUUGACUUGUAAGAUUGUUUCCUUAAAUAUUGUAUAUAUUCGAGUUUUGCUAUUGUUGGGAGAAAAAAGUGAAAGGGUCUCGGCUCUCAGUAGUGUUGUGGAACUAAACUUUAAAUGUGGCUAAUUGUCUUGCAAGUCUUCCUUAUUUAUUAUUUUCUUUUUAUUCUCCUUCAACUGACUACAUUGUGUUUAAACAAACCCUUAAUCUAUUUUUGUAGUUAAAUAAGCCCUUAACUUGAUUUUUACUCAUAAAAUCCAUUUAUUUUAAUAUUAAAUUAAAUAUGUUUUACCCAUAUUAAAGGGCUUUUUAGUAUUUUAGCCCUGCUAGACUGUAUGUUGUAGAACCUGACACCUACAUUGCAGAAAUUGUUUGAUUAUUUUCAAUGCAUAAGAACCAAUGAAAACAUAGAUGGAAGGCUAAUAUACUAAAAGGUGCUUAAUCUAUUACACUUUGUUUAAACAAGCUUUUAUACUGUUUUUGUAGUUAAAUAGGCCCUCAAACUAUGAUUUUUACCCAUGAAAGUCCUAAAUUUUAAUAUUAAAGUAAUACUAUUUAAAAAAUAUAUAAAUUAAUUCGCAUUCUAUGUUGAUAUGAAUUUGAUGAGAAUAGUUUAUUAAAAAAAAUAAAAAUUUAAAAUUUGUUGAGAGUGCUUAUAUACAUGACAUGCUUAAUUACUAUUUUGAAAUUGCUGAUUACUUUUUUAGAUUUUAUGUUUCUGUUAAAGUGUAUAUAAUUUUUAUUGCAUCAACAAGAAAUUAAGAUGAGAGCUUGAAAUUCAAAAUAUAUUUACUUUAAUAUUAAAAUAAAAGACUUUUAUGUGUAAAACCCAUAGGUUAAGAGCUUAGUUAACUACAAAAAAAAGUUAAGGGCUUGUUUAAACACAAUAUAAUGAGUUGAAGGGGAAUAAAAAGAAAAAAUAUAUAACGAUGGUUUACAAGGCAAUUAGCCACAUUUAAGCGGCUCCCUUUCACUUCUUUUUCCAAUAGUCACUUAAAAUGGAAAUUUGCACUUCAAAUCCCUAAAUACUUUAAAUUAUUACAUCUCCGUUUGAUACCACUUGACACUAACAAAACAGUACAGUAAAAAACAUACCAUUUUGAUGUAUAUAUAUAUUCGGUUUUGUUAUUGUUUUUAACAUCGGCUUUUAAUUUAUCACAAUUUUUGGAUAAUUUAAAAAAAAUAAUAAUUAUAUUUUAAUUUAACAUAUAGAAAUUAAUGAGUCCUUGCAAAGCAAGAAUGUGUGUGACAGCGUGAUGAAUUUUUUCCCACACAAAAUCCAAAAGGAAUUAGGAAUCUUCAAAUUCGUCGGCCCAAACGUCACCCUUUUUCAGUGCUUCUCAUCAUUUAUAAAAACACUUCGAUUUCCUUUCUUUACUCCAAAUCCGACGUUCGUAAAAAAAGACCAGGUGAACUACCUACGCGCCGCCGUCACCACCAUGUCACAGCCUCAUUUCCUCCUAGUGACCUUCCCUGCACAAGGCCACAUAAACCCAACCUUACAAUUUGCCAAGCAUCUUAUACGUAUUGGCGUACGUGUAACUUUCAUCACCUGCAUCUCCGCUCGCCGCCGCAUGAGCAAAGUCCCCACUGCUCAAGGCCUAACGUUUUUACCCUUUUCCGAUGGCUACGACGACGGUUUUCAACCCGGCGAUGACAUAGACCAUUACCUAUCUGAAUUCAGGCGACGAGGCAAAGAAGCCAUCUCCGAGUUUAUAACAAGCAGUGAAAACGAAGGCAAACCCGUCACUUGCAUUGUCUACACCCUGUUCAUCCAUUGGGCCUCGGAGGUGGCGCGUAAACAUCACAUCCCGACAGCUUUACUUUGGAUUCAACCCGCCACCGUUUUCGACAUCUAUUAUUUUUACUUCAACGGAUACGAAACUACCUUUAAAGCUCAAGCUGAUGAAACAAACCCCCAGCGUUCAAUAAAAUUACCAGGUCUGCCGCUACUCGCCACCCGCGACCUUCCGUCGUUCCUAACCGCUUUAAACGUUUACCGUUGGGCACUGUCGUUAAUCCAAGAAAAAAUGGACGUCCUCGCUGAUGAAUCCAACCCCAAAAUCCUUGUUAACACAUUCGAUGCUUUGGAACACGAAGCAUUAAACGCCAUUGAAAAUUUCAACAUGGUCGGCAUCGGACCUUUAAUCCCAUUUUCUUUCUUGAACUCAAAUGACUCCUUGGAUAAUUCCUUGAGAACCGAUCUUUUUCAAUCCGAUUCAAAAGAUUACCUCCAAUGGUUAGACUCGAAACCAAAAUCGGCCGUCGUUUACGUUUCCUUCGGGAGCAUUGCGGUGUUAACGAAGCAACAAGUGGAGGAAAUCGCUCGAGCUUUAAUAUCCAGCCGGCGACCGUUUUUAUGGGUGGUGAGGAACCGGAAAGAUGGAGGCUACGAAGAGAAAGAAGAAGAUAAACUGACUUGCAGGGAAGAAUUGGAACAGUUUGGGAUGGUGGUUCCAUGGUGUUCGCAAGUGGAAGUACUGUUUCAUCCAUCCUUGGGUUGCUUCGUGACGCAUUGUGGGUGGAACUCGACGUUGGAGAGCAUGGUGGCCGGUGUACCAGUGGUGGCUUUCCCUCAAUGGACGGAUCAAAGGACUAAUGCGAAGCUGAUUGAAGAUGUGUGGGGGAAUGGGGUAAGAGUGAGUGCUAAUGAAGAAGGGAUCGUGGAACGGGAUGAGAUCGUUAGGUGCUUGGAUUUGGUGAUGGGGGAUGAUGAGAAAGGGAUGGAAGUGAAGAAAAAUGUAGAGAAAUGGAAAGGGUUAGCCACUGGAGCCGCCAUGGAAGGCGGCUCCAUGGAUAUGAACCUUAAAGCUUUUGUGGAUGAUAUUGCUGAAGGUUGUCGUAAGUAAAAUUAUCACUUUCAAAUCAAUUCAAUGUUUCAAUUCAAUUACCUGUAAUGUACUAUGCGUGCAAUUAUAGAUUUAAUAUAUAUUCUUUAAUUGAAUCAUUUUAAGUCACUAUUUUUUUCGAAUUCUAAAAUUUCCAUCUCGACACAAAUGAUAGUCACUAAUCCAUUAACUAAAAUUUCAAUAAGUAAUAUGUGAAAAUCGCAAACUGAAAUGCUAUUACACAUAUCAUAAUAUGUUUUGUUGCAUUAAAUUUUGAAAAUAACAGAAUUUAAUGAAUUUAACAAUUAUCGUUUAGUAAAGACUGAAAUUUUAAAAUUUUAAAAGUAAUAGAAUUAAAAAUAACCCAAUUAAAGUAUAAAUAUUAAAUCUACAAUUUUUAUAAAGUAAGACCAAUAAUAAAAUUUAAUAUUGUUUUUUUCUUGAAAGAAAUUGGAAGUGACCAUUAAGUACAAUAUGUGAUAGGGAUGGGAGAAUAUGAAUGGUGUGAUAGAUUUUGAAUGUAGGAAACAAACUUUUUUGAAAUGUGGUUGUAAGAUGGAGUGGGUUGGAUUUUUGUGUGUGUGGUCAAUGUGUAAUUCUUUGCCUUUAUAAAAGUAUCAUUUUAUCCAUUUAAUAUGUAUAACUAUUUAAAUAUGUAGAAAUGUGAAAAUGUAUUAUAGAAAAGCCUUUAUUUUUAAUUAAUGAGCUCUAACCGAUGAUUUAACAAUCAUAUGGUGGAUUAGUACUCAUCGACGAGUAGAGGAAAUCGCUUGAGCUUUAUUAUCCAGCUGACAACCGUUUUUAUGGGUGGUGAGGAACUGGAAAGAUGGAGGCUACGAAGAGAAAGAAGAAGAUAAACUGACUUGCAGGGAAGAAUUGGAACAGUUUGGGGUGGUGCUUCCAUGGUGUUUGCCAGUGGAAGUAUUGUCUCAUCGUCGUUGGAUUGCUUCGUGACACAUUGUGGGUGAAACUCGACGUUGGAAAGCAUGGUGGCCAUUGUACCAGUGGUGGCUUUCCCUCAAUGGACGGAUCAAGGGACUAAUGCGAAGCUGAUUGAAGAUGUGGGGGGAAUGGGGUGAGAGUGAGUGCUAAUGAAGAAGGGAUCAUGAAACGUGAUGAGAUUGUUAGGUGCUUGGGUUUGGUGAUGGGGGAUGAGGAGAAAGGGAUGCAAGUGAAGAAGAAUGUUGUGAAAUGGAAAGGGUUAGCGGAGAGGCCGCCAUGGAAGGUGGUUCCUUGGAUAUCAACCUUAAAGUUUUUGUGGAUGAUGUUGCUCAAGGUUGUUGCAAGUAAAUUUAUCUUUUCAUAUAAUUAUCUCCAUUUAUAUUUCGAAUUCUUAAAUCAAGAAAUAAUAUUUUUAAAAACGAUCAAAUUCCUCUUAACUGUUGUAAUAAUAAUAAUAAUAAUAUCAAAUUAAUGAUCUAAAAUUCGAUGGAAUGUUACAAAUAAAUUUCUAAUUUAUGUUUGUAUUAAAUUUAUGCUUAAAUUAAUUUUGGCCUAUGGUGUAAGUUUUUUUUAAAAAAAUUUUAAUGGCCAAAUUUAAUUAAUAACAUCAACAAUUGAAUUUUAAAUUUUAAGUCAAACUAAGAGACUAAAAUUUAAAAAUUAAAAGUAGUGGAUUAAAUUUUUAAAAAAAUUGCAAAAGAGUACAAGAAUUGGAGGUAUACUUAAAAAAAAUAUUAAAAUUUUCUUUUCUCCUCCAAUAAUAGAAUCUAAAGCUACGCACCUUUAUAAAAAUUAAAAAAAGAAUUAAUUGUCCAAGAUAAAUAUUAAAUAAUAAUAUUUAUGGACUUGAGUACAUGAAAUUUAUUGUUGGUCAUUUAAUUUAUCAUUUAACAAUUACUUUUGUUUUGGCUAUUGAGAAAAUUUUCUAGCCCUUAUAAUGUGUAUAUAUAUAUCUCCAUAUUAUUGGAUGUGUUUCUUUUUAUUAAAUUACAUAGCCUAAGGUUGCUUAUUGCGAUUAUGGUAAUUUGCUGCACCAUCCCCUGACUAAUUCUUCUCAUUUUUAGUGUUAGCAUUCUCCUACUUAAAAUCAGGGUCUCAUGUUGCUUUUUGAGCGUCAUUAUACCAUUCUCCUCUUUAACCCGCCGAAAAAUUCUGCUUUCGAUUCUGGAGAAGCUGCCACCCUUGAAGUCAAAAGUACCCUGUCAGCUUCCAAAGAUGCUGCCUCAUCAAAAGCCUUCUCCUCUUGUCCUACUACAAAUUGGAUUGAGAGCACCAAAGCCAUUGAGAACACAACCAAAAAAACCUUCACAAUCUUUUUUUAUUUUCUAAAAUGGUUAAGAAAAAAAAGUAAACAUAUA
rnacentral:lncRNA from 1 species